UACGUAGGGGGCAAGCGUUGUCCGGAAUUAUUGGGCGUAAAGCGCGUGUAGGCGGCCAGAUAAGUCCGCUGUGAAAUCUCGAGGCUCAACUUCGAGCUGUCGGUGGAAACUGUCUGGCUAGAGUCCGGAAAGAGGAGAGUGGAAUUCCUGGUGUAGCGGUGAAAUGCGCAGAUAUCAGGAAGAACACCCGUGGCGAAAGGCGGCUCUCUGGGGA
rnacentral:rRNA from 1 species